AAUGCAACCGCCGGAUCAAUGGAUUAUAAAAUGUUAUAAAACAUACUACCGACAAUUUUUGAUUUGAAGACUACUGUCGUCAAUGGACGAAUAUGAUUCUACAAAGGAGAUUAAAAAGUCUAUAAAUAUUACCAACUUCUUAAUUUGGACCGUAAGUGCAUGGAAGCAAGUGCAACCGAAAACAAUUAAUAAUUGCAUCUAGAGAUAAACCGAAAAUUGUGUUAACAGAAUCAUUUGUGUAAUAAAUUAUUCUGAAUUUUUCGAAUUAUACAGAAAAAAAAUUGACGGACAAAAAUAUAUAAGGGCAGUAAAAUUCCAUGCUUGGAAAGGGAGAACGGCUAUUCAUCUAUGGGAAAAAAAUUUGAUAGAAAUGCUCUCAUAGCGCAACAAAAUUUAUAUAUAUUUAGGUAUAUACAUAGGUACUUCUUGUUGUGAACAUUAACAAUACAAAAAUAAAAUGCAUAAAUAGACCUAAACUUUUUUUUCUGAACAUAUUUAAAAACAGGAACAAUUUAAUAAUUUAUUUGAUAAGCAGUAAUCAGAUUGUAGGUAUAAUUAUGAACAGAAGAUAAAGUAAUUUAAAUGAGGUUCUUUCAUUCCACCAUACCUAACCUGAAGCUAAACUAAGGAUUUUAAAUAAAUAGCCAUAGAAAAAAUGAAACAUGACCACAUAUAAAAUCACCCCCUGGGAUGUCUUAGAAACCAA
rnacentral:lncRNA from 1 species